rnacentral:rRNA from 1 species
AGCGGACGCUGGCGGCAGGCCUAACACAUGCAAGUCGAACGAAGUCUUCGGACUUAGUGGCGGACGGGUGAGUAACACGUGGGAACGUGCCUUUAGGUUCGGAAUAACUCAGGGAAACUUGUGCUAAUACCGAAUGUGCCCUUCGGGGGAAAGAUUUAUCGCCUUUAGAGCGACCCGCGUCUGAUUAGCUAGUUGGUGAGGUAAAGGCUCACCAAGGCUACGAUCAGUAGCUGGUCUGAGAGGAUGACCAGCCACAUUGGGACUGAGACACGGCCCAAACUCCUACGGGAGGCAGCAGUGGGGAAUCUUGCGCAAUGGGCGAAAGCCUGACGCAGCCAUGCCGCGUGGAUGAUGAAGGUCUUAGGAUUGUAAAAUCCUUUCACCGGUGAAGAUAAUGACUGUAGCCGGAGAAGAAGCCCCGGCUAACUUCGUGCCAGCCGCCGCCGUAAGAC